rnacentral:rRNA from 1 species
AUUGAACGCUGGCGGCAGGCCUAACACAUGCAAGUCGAACGAGUGGCGGACGGGUGAGUAAUGUCUGGGAAACUGCCUGAUGGAGGGGGAUAACUACUGGAAACGGUAGCUAAUACCGCAUACCAUCGGAUGUGCCCAGAUGGGAUUAGCUAGUAGGUGGGGUAAAGGCUCACCUAGGCGACGAUCCCUAGCUGGUCUGAGAGGAUGACAGGCCAAACUGGAACUGGGAGACGGGCCAAACUCCUACGGGAGGCAGCAGUGGGGAAGAUUGGACAAUGGGCGAAAGCCUGAUGCAGCCAUGCAGCGUGGAUGAAGAAGGCCUUAGGGUUGUAAAGUACUUUCAGCGGGGAGGCGUUACCUGCAGAAGAAGCACCGGCUAACUCCGUGCCAGCAGCCGCGGUAAUAC